rnacentral:rRNA from 1 species
GACGAACGCUGGCGGCGUGCUUAACACAUGCAAGUCGAACGGAAAGGCCCCCACUUUUUUGGUGGGGGUGCUCGAGUGGCGAACGGGUGAGUAACACGUGGGUGAUCUGCCCUGUACUUCGGGAUAAGCUUGGGAAACUGGGUCUAAUACCGGAUAGGACCAUGGUUUAGUGUCUCAUGGUGGAAAAAUUAUUGUUUUGGUGCAGGAUGAGCUCGCGGCCUAUCAGCUUGUUGGUGGGGUAAUGGCCUACCAAGGCGUCGACGGGUAGCCGGCCUGAGAGGGUGGACGGCCACAUUGGGACUGAGAUACGGCCCAGACUCCGACGGGAGGCAGCAGUGGGGAAUAUUGCACAAUGGGCGCAAGCCUGAUGCAGCGACGCCGCGUGGGGGAUGACGGCCGUCGGGUUGUAAACUCCUUUCGUUAGGGACGAAGCCGCACCUUUUUUGGGUGUGGUGACGGUACCUUUGUUAAGAAGCACCGGCUAACUACGUG